AACUUAUCCAGAGAGGUGGAGGGAAUGGCCCAUUGAAACCUCAGCAACAGCUUCUUUUUAGAAGACUGUGCUAACUCCAACAAGCUUAACCGCUUGGAAGAUAAGUU
rnacentral:ncRNA from 2 species